rnacentral:rRNA from 1 species
AUGAACGCUAGCUACAGGCUUAACACAUGCAAGUCGAGGGGCAGCAUGGUCUUAGCUUGCUAAGACUGAUGGCGACCGGCGCACGGGUGAGUAACACGUAUCCAACCUGCCGUCUACUCUUGGACAGCCUUCUGAAAGGAAGAUUAAUACAAGAUGGCAUCAUGAGUCCGCAUGUUCACAUGAUUAAAGGUAUUCCGGUAGACGAUGGGGAUGCGUUCCAUUAGAUAGUAGGCGGGGUAACGGCCCACCUAGUCUUCGAUGGAUAGGGGUUCUGAGAGGAAGGUCCCCCACAUUGGAACUGAGACACGGUCCAAACUCCUACGGGAGGCAGCAGUGAGGAAUAUUGGUCAAUGGGCGAGAGCCUGAACCAGCCAAGUAGCGUGAAGGAUGACUGCCCUAUGGGUUGUAAACUUCUUUUAUAAAGGAAUAAAGUCGGGUAUGGAUACCCGUUUGCAUGUACUUUAUGAAUAAGGAUCGGCUAACUCCGUGCCAGCAGCCGCGGUAAUACGGAGGAUCCGAGCGUUAUCCGGAUUUAUUGGGUUUAAAGGGAGCGUAGAUGGAUGUUUAAGUCAGUUGUGAAAGUUUGCGGCUCAACCGUAAAAUUGCAGUUGAUACUGGAUAUCUUGAGUGCAGUUGAGGCAGGCGGAAUUCGUGGUGUAGCGGUGAAAUGCUUAGAUAUCACGAAGAACUCCGAUUGCGAAGGCAGCCUGCUAAGCUGCAACUGACAUUGAGGCUCGAAAGUGUGGGUAUCAAACAGGAUUAGAUACCCUGGUAGUCCACACGGUAAACGAUGAAUACUCGCUGUUUGCGAUAUACUGCAAGCGGCCAAGCGAAAGCGUUAAGUAUUCCACCUGGGGAGUACGCCGGCAACGGUGAAACUCAAAGGAAUUGACGGGGGCCCGCACAAGCGGAGGAACAUGUGGUUUAAUUCGAAGCAACGCGAAGAACCUUACCAGGGCUUGACAUCCCUCUGACAGAUCCUUAAACGGAUUUUUCUUCGGACAGAGGAGACAGGUGGUGCAUGGUUGUCGUCAGCUCGUGCCGUGAGGUGUCGGCUUAAGUGCCAUAACGAGCGCAACCCUUGUUGUCAGUUACUAACAGGUUCCGCUGAGGACUCUGACAAGACUGCCAUCGUAAGAUGUGAGGAAGGUGGGGAUGACGUCAAAUCAGCACGGCCCUUACGUCCGGGGCUACACACGUGUUACAAUGGGGGGUACAGAGGGCCGCUACCACGCGAGUGGAUGCCAAUCCCCAAAACCUCUCUCAGUUCGGACUGGAGUCUGCAACCCGACUCCACGAAGCUGGAUUCGCUAGUAAUCGCGCAUCAGCCACGGCGCGGUGAAUACGUUCCCGGGCCUUGUACACACCGCCCGUCAAGCCAUGGGAGCCGGGGGUACCUGAAGUGCGUAACCGCGAGGAGCGCCCUAGGGUAAAACUGGUGACUGGGGCU